rnacentral:rRNA from 1 species
UACGUAGGGGGCAAGCGUUGUCCGGAAUCAUUGGGCGUAAAGAGCGUGUAGGCGGCCCGAUAAGUCCGCCGUGAAAGCCCAGGGCUCAACCCUGGGAUGCCGGUGGAUACUGUCGGGCUAGAAUCCGGAAGAGGCGAGUGGAAUUCCUGGUGUAGCGGUGAAAUGCGCAGAUAUCAGGAGGAACACCGAUGGCGAAGGCAGCUCGCUGGGACGGUAUUGACGCUGAGACGCGAAAGCGUGGGGGGCAAACAGG